CGCACAUUGCGCCCCUUGGCAUUCCAUUGGGCAUGCCUGUUCGAGCGUCAUCCGAACCCUCAAGCUACGCUUGGUGUUGGGCGUUUGCCCGCGCGCACGCGCGCCGGCUCGCCCCAAAUGCAUUGGCAGUUGCCACGCCAGCCUCCCACGCAGCAGUUUGCGCUUCCGAGGGGCUUCCGGCGGGCUCUCCCACCGAGACCAUCCGCAUUUGACCUCGAAUCAGGUAGGGAUACCCGCUGAACUUAA
rnacentral:misc_RNA from 1 species